rnacentral:piRNA from 1 species
UCCUCUUUCUUAUGUACCGCCGGACUCAU